ACUUCAAGAAUUCCAAAUCGGUGGUUUAUUGAGUUUUCCAAAAAUCAACACAAUAUGCUAACUAUACAUGAAUUAUAUAACUACUCAUAUUUUCUUUUUUGAACAAAACUGACAGUAUUACAAAACAGGAAUGCAUUAUUUUUGAGAUUUCUGUCUUGAGAUGAUUAUUUGACACACACAUCACUUUAAACUCUGUUUUUUUCUUUUCUGGAACAUAUUUAAAAAGAACGAUAGGGAGCAACCAGAGAAAUAAAAGACAUAAAGAAAGAUGGCUGUAAUUGUACUAUCCUGAGAUUUGCUUAGCCCAAAAGUCUGCCUAUUAUGCUGGUUUCACAGGAUUGCCGCCGUCUCUCUGCAGGAAACAUAAAAUCUGAUCAAGUUCACAGACGCACUGAGAGACUGCUUCAAGCAGCGCUUUAUAACUUCAGUCUUUUCACAUCUUUUCUCCCAAUCAGUCCCAAGAAAGACUCCACAUUCUUUAUUUUUGAGUUUUUGCAAAAAGCUGCAGUUAAAAUGUCUUCUUCAAGUUCUUCAUAAAAUCUUCAAUCAAAAUAGUCAAAUGCCCCACAUUUAUCCAUCAGAUAUUGAAAAAUCUUAUAAGAGAGGCAAAAGUCUGAUAACCAUUAUCCAUGUGGACAUGAGCCUUAAAUAUCCAAGUCUAGUGCUGCCAUUUUGGAUUCUUUGCAAACAGGAAACCUGAAAGAAAAACUUCAGUUUACUGGCUGGAAUGACAACUGACUGCAAGGUUUAUUACCUGUCAAAUAAAAAGUAAAUGAUGCAGCUACAGUACCUGUAUUAACGGUAAAUUAAUACCAGGCAAAGUGCAUGCAUAUUAAUC